UAUUCUGCUAGAUUGUGCACCUUUUAAAUGAAUGCCAAGUAACACAGUAAACAAGUAAAAUGGAUUCCAUCUCCUCAGCUCAAACUAUUUUAAGGCAGAUUGAUUGCAACAGGCACUGCCGGUUCUUCUGAGUUAACAGGUGCUGCUUAUAAGAAAAAUGAUGUAAUGUAGCAAAAUCUGCUUUACACAAAAGGAGUUGACGUUCCCCAGCAGCAGGCUGUGCCGACACCGCCGAGAUCUGUAACAAAAUAGAAUAAGCACAUUACCAUAUGUACAUUUUCCCCCAUAUUGGACUAUCCACUGUUAAACCUCUCUCUGUUAUUUGUGUGUGUAUGUGUGUGUGUGUGUAUGUAUGGUUUUUGUAGUGAAGAAGGCAAAAGCAGCCCCCUCGUUGAUGGUCGUCUGCCUGCCAACAGGGAAUUGUAGACAUUUGCAAAGGCCAGCAAGCAUUCAAGCCCCACCCCUCUAUUUUGUCCUCUAUUCUGUCUCUGCCUGGACUUUCUCUUUCCCUCUUUUUUUCUUAUUUUAAGUGCUAUAGAGUAUAAAGGUCAGAUGUGAAUGACUUGUUAGAAGCAUUGCUUAAAAUGCAAUGUGUUCAACCCUUUUUAAGUGCUGCUUGGCCAUUCAUUAUAUUAUUCAUAUACAUUACUCUUUUACUGUUCAUGAAAUAUUCAUGAAGAGAAACUAAAAACAACUACAUGUGUUUUGACUCUCUGCUGCAAAAGAAGUUGAUAUUUUGAAUCAAAGCCACUACGUUGUAAUGUGUCAGAGUGCACAGCUUAAAGCAGUUCCUACCAGAAAUACUGGUUCCUUUUGUGUUAGAGAUGCACCGAGGGGAUUUGUAGUCAGUUUUUGGUAAAGCUUUGACCUGCCAAAAUCAGUUUUAGCCAAUUCAGAUUUCGCAUUUCCAGCUAUAAUCAACAGCUUUCAAAAUAUUUCUAGGCUCCUUACAAUGAGGGGACAUUUAAAUUGGAAGCCAAUGCAACACACAAUGUGUGUGAGUGAGCAUUACUAAAAAACAAGAUUUUACUUAUUUGAAAAAAAUUAAAGCUGAAAUAAGUUGACAUUAGGGAUGGGGACCGAAUUCCGUCGUUCACGUAAAAUCAAACGGUGCCUUAACCCAUCAUUGUGACACUGAGGAAGUGGAAGAGUGGACAAUUUUCCAUCCCGGACAUGAACACAGUAUUGCACGCACAAGAGCAUAAUGACGUCAGUAGCCACUGGCGCCGUCAACAAAGCAUGGCUGAUAGAAAGCGCUCGAAAGUAUGGCUGCACUUUUCAAAAGGUGAUGCAGAUUACGCUUGCUGGAAUAUUUGUGACUUGAAGUGCAAGGCCAGCAGCAGGAAUACUUCUAAUCUGAAGAUGCACCUGGUUAAGCACAACAUCUUUCUCAAUGCUGAAGUGAGCGCAAUUUUCAUCAGCGUCAGAUCUACGACUACAACUCCUGCAUUCGGCACUGUUAGCACGCCUGCAUCCGUUAGCGACUCAUCGUCUGCAGCCAACAACAUGGCUGGGUUUUAAGUUGUGCAUUAUUAAGAAAAAAGACUGCGUAGUAAGUUAAGGGUUUUCGUGUUGAAGAAAUGUUUGAUAAAACUUCUAUGUUACAAUACAAACAGCUGAUGUUGCUUUGAUAUAUUUGUUAAAGUUAUAUAUUGAGAAAUAAAUAUGUUGAAUUUAAAAAUUUUUAGAUUUUAUUAAACAAAUUAACAUUUAUUAUCACAUAAACACACAAACAAAAGUACAAAAAACUGGUACCAUUGAGUACUGAUACUGAUUCCCAGGUCCUGUAUCGGUUCAGAUGUGAAAGGUACCCAUCCCCAGUUGACAUUUUAAAUUCUCUUAAGAAUUUAUACUGGGAAUUAAGCCUAUUUAAGACGCUAGGAUUACCAAGUGAACACAGCAGUUUCGCCGUAUAUUCUCUAGAAAAUCCAUACCAUUACAUUAACUCGGGUCUCCAAACGACUGGCAAAAUUUACCAAUCCAGCAUAACACUGAGCUUGAAAACUCAAAAGAAAACUUCACAUUCCUGAAAUACUUUUAAGUUUUUUGGUACAUUUUGAAGUCUGUUCUGAAUCAUUUUAUGUUUUGCUGAGUUGGAAAAAUGUCUCACACAUGAAAAAAACGCUCUCUGUUGCUGCAGCCUAACUGAACAGCAAAUAUGCCUUUUUAGAAAACAGUUUCCGAAACCUCCUGCACGUCAUCUGAUUUCAUUUCUAACUGAAAAUGUUAACUUCAAGUGUUCUACCCACAGUAAAAGCGUCCACACCAAAGAGUGUGGAAGCGCUCAGGUAUAAGACUUAUGAGUGCUUACGCAUGGCGCCAUCGCUGAUCAGAAAAAUAUUUGAUUUUUGAGUUUCUGAACAGCCAGUCAACCUGAAAAUUGUCUGAUUCUGAUCACCAGCCAGUUUCUCGAUGCAUCUCCAGGUUUAUUACCCUUUGCUAAAACAACAUAUACAAAAUGCUUCAGAAAUUUUAGCAUUAGUUGUUGCUGGCCGAUAAUUGACUAUGGAAAAUAUUCAAAAACACGUUCAUCCUUAAAAGGUUGACCUUGAAACGGCAUUAAUUCUUUGGAUUUGAUAGAAAGAGGCAGCGUAAAAAAAACAUCAAGGUGGCUUAAAAUAACCCCAUUCUUUCAGUGUGAGCUAAAC